rnacentral:snoRNA from 1 species
UUUCACGAAUCAAUAUUAAAUAACUAAUAAAAAUACAUUUCUGACGUGCUAAAUAAACCUUUGGAGGUAAAUUAGCAGCAUGAUGAAUAUAGUCAUUGCUGUGAGUCACCUUCAGACAGUA